UAUCCUGGUUAUUGUUCCACCAUCAUUAUUUGUACUUUGUUGGCCUCACACCUCUUUUUUUUCAUUAAAUUUAUCUAGUUGACAACUAUCAGUCUACGUUUAUAGAGUCUGAUUCUGUCCGUAACCUUCCGGACAUUCUGACAGCCACGAUACAAAGAAAUCCUUUGUCUACUAAUUGAGAAAGCAUGGAACAGUGACAAACCUUCCCAGGAGUGGCCAUCUUCCAGAAAUUAUUUCAAGCCCAGCAACGACUCAUCCAGGAGGUCACAAAGAAACUCAAGACAAUGUCUAAAACACUGCAGACCUCCCUCGCUUCAUUUAAGAAGUUCGUCAGACAUGCAGUCCCACUGAGUUCAAGUCCACACUGAAGGAGAAGAACAGGAGACGUGAUGGGGUGUGUUGGUGACGUGAGGCGAUCCAUUCCCGGGUGGGUGGAGACUUCAAAGUAGAGAGUCGUGAUAUCAAGAACUGGAUGUCCGUCCAAAAUUGAUGAGAAGACGAGAAAAAAAAAACUUGUGGUCAGGGAGCCUCCAAAGAGGCUGACAGCAGCAUGAAAGGAGAUGAAGGAA